GCACGGCCAGGGAUAUGGCAGGACCAGGGCUAGGGCCAGGGCCAGGCCAUAGUGAGGGCAGGGCAAAAGCCCAGGUAGGGUCAGGGCAGGUCCAGGGAGUGACCAGCACCAAGAGGGGCCAAGGCACAACCAGCGCACGGUAAGGCAGAGCAAUGGCACCACUGGGCCAUGACAGGGCAAGGUCAGUGCCAGGAGAGGGCAGAACAGGCAGGCCCAUGGUGGGGCCAGGCCAGGGAUGGGCCAAAGCAGGUCCAGGACAUGUCCAAGGCCAGGUCAGGGUCAGAACAGGAGCGGGACCAUGACAAUUGGCAGGGCCAGUGCCAUGACAGGACCAGGGUCAGGACAAGGGGCAGGGCCAGAGCCAGGGCCAGAGUCAAGGUCAGGCCAGUGCAGGUUCAGGGAAGGGCCAGUGCCAGGGCAAGACCAGGGCAGGGACAGGGUAGCACAGGGCCAAGACAGGGUCAGGAUGGGACCAGAGCAGGACGGGGCUGAGAGUCCAG
rnacentral:lncRNA from 1 species